UCCUAGCCCUGGUAGCAGCGGCAUCCUUCUAUUGCUUUUUUUAAGCAAUAGAAGAUACAGCGAAUGACAGGAAAUAGC
rfam:Flavobacterium sp. TAB87 contig000030, whole genome shotgun sequence.